UGGCAUUCACAUUCACCCUAUCUACAUAAUCGCACCUCUCGCUCGCUCUGCCGCUGAUCGACGUGGCGUGCAUAUUUCGAUUGCAUUUUGAUAUAGAGUUUUAGUGUUGGUUUUUGUAGCUUUUUCUGCGUUCUUAGAUUAGUUUAGGCGCCGCCACUGUCACCGACUCUCUCUCUCUCUCUCUCGCUCUCGCUCUGGCUCUCAGUCUCUGUCGCACAGUCGGGUGACAAAAGUUGCUCGGUGUCAGGCCCGAGAGACAUGAUCAGCAUCACAGCCCAACCCAUCCCACUUUUCGGUCUUCGUGUCGCGUCUCAGCUGUUGCUCUUCAUCUUCACCUUCGUCUCGUCUCGUCUUUAUCUUUAUACUACUGUUAUCGCAUCAUUGUAGUUGAGGGGGCUUUUGCCUUAAUAAGUAAGGGUUCCGUUUUAGCCCACGCAUUUCUUUCAGGCCGUGUCAAAUCUAAAUCAAUUAUCCCAACCCAACGGAUGAGGGUCUUGGGUAAGAAAAAUGUCUUUUAUCAUCGACAUUAUUUCAAAGGUCAUAUGGAUCAUUCAGCGAAAAUGUAAUGGCUCUCGACGGACCAUUGUCAACCCACAUGAUAUCUGUCGUACCCACAUCAAAACUAUCCGAGGCAAACGGAAACCCCUGAAUCUGAAUCUGUAUCUGAAUCUGAAUGCAGCCAACUCUACACAGAAAUGCAGCAGUCUGGUUUUGGAACUGGAACCUCGUAUCGCUGCGUUUGUUGGGCACCUUCUAUGGCAAAGAAAGUGUAUCUGUGUGAGUUUAUCUUUGGCCUGGUUGCCUGUGUGUGUGCGUGGUGUGCGUGCCUCGAUGACAUUCGCUCAUGGCGGUUUUAUAGUUGUCGAAAUGCCCUCUGACAAUGAAUGAUCUCAACCCCAGUCUCAAAAUGAGUUGCAUGAUAGUGCACCUAUGCCUAUGGAUGUUUGAACAUACAUAUGUGAAGGGUUUUCACGCUUUUCUGUUUCGAGUGUUAAAAAGUCUCAUUUUGCUUGCACACUUUCUUCGGAUGGCCACGCAGCAUCCCAUUUGGUGGAGAGGUUCGCUUAAAAGGGGGUCUUUUGGAGUGGUAUGUACAUACACAUGUAAGUAGAGGAGGAAGAGCCGGCCGGCUUGCCUAGUUGAAAGCCGGUUUCCCAAAGAUCCCUGCUUGAAUAAAAAGUAGUUACUCGAGUGGUUCGCUGCAGCGCGUCGUGUAGAGAGUCUCAGAAGAGCCAGAGAGCUCUCCAUUAUUAUCCCCCUGUUCAUUCUUCCCCUGUCUUCCCCUUCAUUCAGGGUUGGCACUUCCUCCCCUUGCAUCUCGUACUGCAAUGCUCUAUCUUUUCUCUUCUCUUCACUACUCUCUUUGGCUGCACUCGAAAUUGCUGGCACUUGCGUGGGCCUCUGUCUGUACCCUCUGGCAAAUUUAGUAGCUGCUUCUCCCUACAUACUCGUAUACAUAUGUAUGUACAUACUCGUAUUUGUAUGUAUCUUGUCUAUUCCUGUAACGAUUUCCAUAUUUUCAUAUGUACAUCUUUUUGAGGCAGUUGUAAUUAUAGUUCGUUGCUUUCGAGCGGAGCGGAGCGGAUGUGCUUUGCUUGGUGGACAAUUUACAAAAUUCAAUUUAUGAAUUUAUGAACUUAUACGGGUGGCUUGCAGUCUUGUCACUCUUCGCCACUCUCUCACUCAGAAAAGAUAUACGAUAUAGUCUGUACAUACAUACAUAGGUGUAUAUGGUAGGUACAAAGUUGAGGAAGCUAUCGGUAUUUAUUAUAUAAAUAAUUAAACAGGAAUCCACGUGCGCCUGAAAUCGUGGGGUGAUGAAACCGGCAGGCACUUCAGUAUCAGGCACGAAAAUAUUGGCUAGCGGCGCUUGGUUAUCAGUGAAAUUCAAUAAAUUUUAGUCAUAGUAUAGCCUACACAAUAUACAGUACACGGUACUAGUUUGUGAAGCCCUCUUGGGAGAAUCUAAUUUUAGAAAUGGGGCGCGCGACUUAGAAGAUUUUUGCUCAUUAUCAAUGCAUAUUGAAUUGCUGAUGAACUGCGCAGCAUAAACUUAAAUCAUAAAUAUAGAACUGGUUUAUUUUUGGGCAGAGAUAAUACCCAGAGCGCAGGAGCGUGUCGGCCGAUGGCCAUGCCAUGCCGUAACUGACCUAGAGCACAUGAUCGUAGCGUGAUCGCCGAAAGAAAGCACCGAGAAGAUAAACGACACGAAUUUUCUUCUUGGCAAAGAUCUCUCACAUCAAAACAGUUCUUCCGCAACGGAAACGGCACGGAAUAACAUAGUCGCAAAAAGGUUUUACUAUAAAUAAACCAAGGGAUAGACAUUCGCAACAUGCUAAGAGCGGAAUUCCCAUUCACAUGACAGUUUUUACCCAGAGUGUGAUCUUUUUAACCAUCUUAGACCGUCUUCGUUCUGUUCUAUUCUGUUGUGUGUGUUUUCCCUUUGCUUUCAAACGUAACGGAUCCGAUCGCGUAAUUUUCCAUUGGAACUAAUACGAUCGGGGAUCGGCGAUCGGCGAUUGGCGGUCAUCGGUGAUCACUGAUCAGCAUUAAAACAAACUUAAUUAUGCGAUUCAUAUAUACUCGUAGAUGUAUGUAUAGAAAGUCAUCGAGCAAACAGCAGGCGAGCGAGUCUGAGGCCUGAACCGACCACAGCUGAUCACGUUUUCGCUUGCUGCUUCAGAUAGUGGUCCUGGCAAUAGUUCCAUUGACAUCGCCAGACGACGACGACGACGACGGCGGCGGCUAUCUGCCCAGACCCGACGCACAUCGACGCAAUGUCUGAUAUCGCGCGUGUCUGCGCUGAUAGCUGAUAGCGAGCCCCUAAUUGAGUGCUCCCCAAACACCCUAAAAAUAGUUAGACUCGACCUCUUCAUUAUUCCCAUGUUAAUCACCGAACCAAUAGACACAGUGACCAACGAAAGGGAAUGCCACUUAUCAACAUCUGUUUGCCAGACCAAGUUGAGUAGACGGGGUGUAAGUCGAGUGUUUACUGUGGCUAAUGUAUUUGAUUUUCAAGUUUGGCUCGUGUGCUGGCGCUUCAAAAGGGUUCCGUUAUACCUUCCAAGGCAGUGAUGAGAUAGUUAGCCGUAGACACCCACCUGAUUAGGUAAUACUUAAAGUCCAAAGAAAAUCAAUAUGGGGGUUACAUGUAAUACACCAUAAUUUUUGUUUAGUUUAUAUAUAUCUUGAUCUUACUGGUUAUCCAUAUGUAUCUUUUCGAAACAUCAGAAUCGACUACUCCUACAUCAUAAAGAUCCUACAGAUCCGCUUCUCUACUCAUUAGCCUUUCUUUCUUUCAAUUUCAUUUAAAACUUGAUCUCAUCCUAAAAAUUCAGAGUCAACAUGUGUGCAAAAACAGAUUCACUAAUUGACAGGUUCCAAAUUGCAUUAUUUUCUCUCUCACCUGAUGAAAUAUAUUUGCAUACAUUUGGCCAUUUUUUAUAUAUUUUUGCGUUGCUAUCGGAUAAAAAAUUAAGGAAACCACAUAAAAUAAAUAAAUAAUAUGAGCAACAAUUUAGAAAUAAUUUAGAAAAUUUUACCAAAUGUUUAAUGAUGCAUAACAAAAUCCUUUAACUUAGUCAGUUUCCUUGAUCCACUACUCUCGAUCUUUCUCUCAACAUAACCGCCAAGAGAUACUCGUAAUCAAUUCCGCCUUUCUUCAAGACCAGGGAUAGCAGUAAAAGCUGUUGAACAUCUUUCCUGUUUCCGGUUUAUGCUACAAGCAUUAACAUAAAAGUGCGCGAAAUCAAGUUCAAAAAUAUAUAUACGCUUGGAUUCAAUGUUGAACGCGUACAUUGCACUGCCCAGAAUUAAAAAUAAUGUAUCUGUAGAGCUGCUUGACGACAUACUUAUAUACAUACAUAGAUAGAUAGAUAUAUAUUUACAUCUAGAAAUGCCUAGACAAGUUUUACAAUUUACAUGGCCGUGCGAAUGAAUCAGUGGGACAAGCAGAGCAAUCUGCUUCUUGCUUUUUGCUCGAACAUCUAUAAAGUAUCUGAUAAAUGCGCAGCACACUUAGAAUUUGGCAAAAUUUUGAUUUAAUUAACCUUCUAUUUGGUGGAGAGGUCAGUCGCAAUCUGGACUAGAAUCAGUUUUUAUAUGGUCUUUGCUUCUGUACGCGAUUUCUUUUUGGUAAAGGAGGUCAGUGAACUGUUUUAUUAUUAUUUUAAGAAGACUACCGAUUCUUAUAUUUCUAUCUUAGUUUUAUAUUUUGCUUACAUAUUUACGUACGUAUGAGGAGAUUAUUGAGGAUAAGAAGACCCGCGAUAUGGUUAUCUAGAGAGGUUUCAGUCGCCUUGAUUUUGUGCCGUUUUCUCGGUAAACUUUUUCAGUACAAGGUAAUCGCGUAUUCUCCUCUGCGAAAUGUUUGUCCAUUUUUUUAAUUUUACACGUAGCGUAGGUCUCAACUGGGUCACCUUUUGGCUUAUCAACGAGCGAACACAUAUAUAUGUACAUAUAUUGUAUAUAAAAUAGUAUAAAGAAUUAAACCGGAAUGCAAGGUGAUCAGAAAUGUGUAUAUCAAAUGUGAAGAUACCCUAGAUAACGAUAAGAAAUUGAUUAAGCUGAGGAUUAAAAUAACACAGUCUCUAAAUCAAGGUAGAAUUCAUUUUCUAGGGACAUACUUUUAUUGAAAACUUCGUUUUCAAAAACUUCUUAAAGCAAGAUUUAAAAACUUAUUU